CCACAUUCUUCAUUUUAAACUCCACCUUAUAAAUACGGAGGCACUGCGGGCAUCACGGAGCAAAUAAUUUCCCUUCUGAGUCAGGAAAACUUUGCUCUCAUCAACAAGACAAAAUGAGUGACAACCCAGACCCAACCCAGGCACCACCAAAGCCGGACGACCACAGCAAAGGGGAUAAUGAUGGAAAAGGGCAUGGACAUGGUGGACAUGGACAUGGUCCUGGUGGACAUGGACAUGGACACGGUGAGGGAAAAGGUGGACGUGGCGGACAUGGACAGUGUGGUCAAGGAAAAGGUGGUCAUGGACAUGGGCCAGGCAAAGAAUGAAAGAAACCACUCCAGCAGUCCUAAAUAAUGGAUGAUCAUUAGAUUUAAAUUUUUGUAAUAUUGAUUUAUCAUAAUUGUAUUGCAUCUCUAAUAAAAAUGAUUCAGAAAAUAUUA